CUGCAGCUAAUUAAGCUGACUGUCCUCCUUCCUCGUGGGGGUCAGUGUGCAAACAGCAGCUUCCUCGGUAGUGUAUGUAACCUGUCGCACGCAUGGGUUGCCCUAAGGGACCUUGGAGACAGCC